UUAUUUUAUUAGGAUUAGGGUUUUGCUUUUCCAUUUCCCUAUUUAUUUGUCAAGGCCGCCGCCGCGGCAAUUUAUACGGCACCGAGAUCCUCCUUUUGAGCAUAUCCCAAAUUCGAUUUCGGAUCUAUGCCUGUGAUGCUGUUACUCUGUUUCGGUAGAUGCUGACUAUAUAGCCCUUCACAUGUUUGAUGAAAUGCUUCAGAGGGUUGCGAUUGAGUCCUUUUCCACUUGGAAAGGACCUGAUUUUGGGUUUCCGGUUUUAGGCAGUUUUUUGAAGGGUGGGUACGAGCCUGAUUUGGUAAAUCACCUUUACCACUCUUGUCAAAGGGUUUUUAUUGCUUGGAAAGAUCCUUGUUGCUGCAAAUCUGAUGGGGAAAUUGUUGGCCGUGGAACUGUGUGAGUCUAAGGAAUAUAAUAUAUUGAUUAAUGGGUCAUGCAAAGCUGUGUCUCGUGUAAAGACGCAGCUGCAAACCUAAUGUUUAUACUUUCAAUGCAUUUAUCCUCAGUGAAUGAACUGAAAGUUAGAGGAUCGUCUA